UACGAAGGGGGCUAGCGUUGUUCGGAAUUACUGGGCGUAAAGCGCACGUAGGCGGACAUUUAAGUCAGGGGUGAAAUCCCGGGGCUCAACCCCGGAACUGCCUUUGAUACUGGAUGUCUUGAGUGUGGAAGAGGUGAGUGGAAUUGCGAGUGUAGAGGUGAAAUUCGUAGAUAUUCGCAGGAACACCAGUGGCGAAGGCGGCUCACUGGUCCACAACUGACGCUGAGGUGCGAAAGCGUGGGGAG
rnacentral:rRNA from 1 species